CCUGAUGACCAUAGCGAGUUGGUACCACCCCUUCCCAUCCCGAACAGGACCGUGAAACGACUCUGCGCCAAUGAUAGUGCUGCAACCAGUGUGAAAGUAG
rnacentral:rRNA from 1 species